rnacentral:rRNA from 1 species
UACGUAGGGUGCAAGCGUUAUCCGGAAUUAUUGGGCGUAAAGAGCUCGUAGGCGGUUUGUCGCGUCUGCUGUGAAAACCCAGGGCUUAACCCUGGGCCUGCAGUGGGUACGGGCAAACUAGAGUGCGGUAGGGGAGAUCGGAAUUCCUGGUGUAGCGGUGAAAUGCGCAGAUAUCAGGAGGAACACCGGUGGCGAAGGCGGAUCUCUGGGCCGUAACUGACGCUGAGGAGCGAAAGCAUGGGGAGCGAACAGG